UACGAAGGGGGCUAGCGUUGUUCGGAAUUACUGGGCGUAAAGCGCGCGUAGGCGGACGUUUAAGUCAGGGGUGAAAUCCCAGGGCUCAACCCUGGAACUGCCUUUGAUACUGAAUGUCUGGAGUUCGGGAGAGGUGAGUGGAAUUCCGAGUGUAGAGGUGAAAUUCGUAGAUAUUCGGAGGAACACCGGUGGCGAAGGCGGCUACCUGGACCGGUUCUGACGCUGAUGCGCGAAAGCGUGGGAUAGCAAACAGG
rnacentral:rRNA from 1 species